rnacentral:rRNA from 1 species
UUCAGCAGCCAUAUCACUCUGCAACUCACAAAUGGCAACCCACUGAAGCUAAGCAGGUGUGAGCCUGGUCAGUACCUGGAUGCGAGACCUCCUGCGAAAAACUAAGGUUGCUGCUGGAA